rnacentral:rRNA from 1 species
UAGUAGUCAUACGCUCGUCUCAAAGAUUAAGCCAUGCAUGUGUAAGUAUAAAUAGUUAACUUUGAAACUGCGAAUGGCUCAUUAUAUCAGUUAUAGUUUAUUUGAUGAAGAAUACUAAUUGGAUAACCGUAGUAAUUCUAGAGCUAAUACAUGUAUAAAG